CUGCUGAGGGGAAGCAAAAUGCACAUGACCGUCAAUUCCCGCAGCCGUAAGAAUACAAUGUUCUCCCGAAAUGGCAUCGGUCGACGGACCUGUCACUAUGGUCGGAGUCACACCUUCCAUAACAUUGGGAUUACCGGCCUUGCCGAUACCCGAGAUUUUGCCGUCCUUAAUGCCGACAUCGGCUUUGAUCACACCGAGGACCGGAUCAAGGAUGGUCACGUUGGUGAUGACCAAGUCCACACUGCCGCAGUCCGAGGUACAUUCGUUGGCAAGUCCCAUGCCGUCACG
rnacentral:sRNA from 1 species